AACGAACGCUGGCGGCAGGCUUAACACAUGCAAGUCGAGCGCCCCGCAAGGGGAGCGGCAGACGGGUGAGUAACGCGUGGGAAUCUACCCAUCUCUACGGAAUAACGCAUGGAAACGUGUGCUAAUACCGUAUACGUCCUUCGGGAGAAAGAUUUAUCGGAGAUGGAUGAGCCCGCGUUGGAUUAGCUAGUUGGUGGGGUAAAGGCCUACCAAGGCGACGAUCCAUAGCUGGUCUGAGAGGAUGAUCAGCUACACUGGGACUGAGACACGGCCCAGACUCCUACGGGAGGCAGCAGUGGGGAAUACUGGACAAUGGGCGCAAGCCUGAUCCAGCCAUGCCGCGUGAGUGAUGAAGGCCUAGGGUUGUAAAGCUCUUUCACCGGUGAAGAUAAUGACGGUAACCGGAGAAGAAGCCCCGGCUAACUUCGUGCCAGCCGCCGCCGUAACAC
rnacentral:rRNA from 1 species